rnacentral:misc_RNA from 1 species
AACUGAUACUACCUGCGGGAACCUGCGGAGGGAUCAUUACGUAUUAGGGCUGCCCUUGGGCGCUCUUUACACACCCACCCUUUGCCUAUGUGUACCUUUCAUAGCUUCCUCGGCGGGCUCGCCCGCCGCCAGGAACCCACGAAACCCCUUGCAUCCUACAUGAAAACUUCCGAUUACAAACCUAAAUUAUCACAACUUUCAGCAAUGGAUCUCU